UGUAAUAAUUUUUAGAAAACCGCCUAGAUUGGUUCGAGAUUAUCGAUCGCGAUCCGAAUAUUUACAUAAACAAACACCCUCAUUAUUUUCUAAAAGGCCCCCUGAAACGGGUGCCAGGGAGCAAAGGCGCCAUCUCUCCUGACGGAUUGCCUCCCCUUCCCGUUCGGUUCCGGCGCCGUCGUCGUCGACAACCGACCUGCUCUGCUCCUCCGGAUCUCCCCUUAUCGUUCCUCGUAGGUUCUGUCCUGCCUCGUCCCCUCCUACCCGUCUCUCCUCCGCCAUUGCUAGCCCCGGUCAUGUAGGCGGGCAUGCGCAGGAAUCCUGGGCCGGCGGCCAUUGGGGCAUUGGGCAGCCAUCCCGAACACCAGCAGCCAAGCCCAGAAUGACUUCCUCGGCGCCUCCGCCAGCCAGUUCGUAUGUCGUUGGGCCUUAUGUACUGCUGCUAGGGCUAAGGUUUGAUUGCUACCGUGAGAUCGCGAGAUCGUUUCCCACGUUCGUCAACGCGACCAACCACCGGGGCCGGCAACCGAGACGGCGCCCACAAGGUUGCUUGCGGCGCGCUCUGAUGAGAAAGAAUGCGAUUGCCUUAACUGCGCCCAAGCAUUCUCAUCAGCGGUGUUGGCACACUCAGUGCAGCAAAGGGAUCAGUGGUGGAUGGGAGUAUGGAACUAUGGGUGAUCGCCUAUCCAUGCUUCUUAAAGUGCCCUUUCGAAUGGAUUUGAAAUGCUUGUGGUAAUGUAUUGGUCUAUGUGGUGAAUGAAGGGACAACUGGUUAAGGGCUGUCCAACCAAGAUGUGUUGGACGCUGACAGGCUCUGCCAGCUACAAGGCUGUGUUUCUGUACUGCAAUGAAGUGGUUUACUGCUGGAACGUGAAGGUGUCUUACCUAUCGUGCUGUGAUGACUUGAUGAUUCUGUCGAGUGAAAUCAAAGCUUGAACUCCGUAUAUGGAGUGAUUCAGACUGUCCUUGCCCAUUUUCUGAUUCUUCUCCACUAUACAUGGCUAUAAGGUAAUGGACAACACUUUGUUUCUUACUUGUUGCAUGAAUAUAAGCUGGUAUUAUUAGAUAGCAGUGCAGGGAAUGGAUGGUAGCCAAGUAUUGAGGCACGGGGGAUGAAUACUAUGCUUCUGAAGGUUCAUCUGGUCCUGGUGUGUCAAUUAUCCACUUUGGAACUUCUGAGAAUAUUUAUCUCCUAUGCUGCAGACUAGUUGACACCAGAGCUAUAGGAAUCACUACCUGUUUGGAGAUAAAUAUUUCUAUGACAUCUUUGUCAAAGGGAUGGCUUGUGCAAGUUGCGUCAGUAUAUGGAGAUGCUGAAUAUGAUUGUAGCUUUCCCAUUGAUCACUAGCAGAAUGUUGAUGGACGGCGGACUGGUUGAGUGGAAUAAUCUGACAUGUCAAUGGCAUUUCAUAAAUUAAUACUGAGAACGGAAACAUGUCAUCUGAGGUGGAAGUUCAGACUUUGCUGCACCUGUUAAAUAUACUCUUAACUGCUAUACCAAAUUGGAGCACUGGUACAAGGGCUGCUUCCUAAAAUUAUGAAGGAAAAAAGGUCUAGCUUUCACUGCAUGAAAGAAGUUUUAAACAGUUUCAACGGCUCAUUCUAUAACCUUGCAAUUCUGGAGUUUCACUGUGUCAAAGCGAGGUCUUCUAUGGAGUGUGAGUUAUCAAGUUUAAAACUACUGGGAAUAUUUAUCUCAGUUGCAGACUGGUUGACAUCAGAGCUGUUGGAAUCCCUAGCUAUUUGGAGAUAAAGAUUUCAGUGGCAUCUUUGUCAAAGGGAUGGCUUCUGUCAGUUGCGUCAGAAUAUGGAUGUGCUGCAUAUGACCACAGGUAUCCCACUGGACACCAGCAGAACACGUCGAGGAGCAAUGAAUUGGUCGAGUUCGAGUGGAAUAAUCUGAUCGUCAGUGGCAUGCCAUAUAUCCAUACUGGUAUGCAUGUUGUUAAACAAUGCACUUCACCAGUUAUCUAACUGCUCCGGUGAGACAAACUCAAGUUAACACUUUACUGAUUGCACUUUAAUCUAAACAACCCGUAGGAAACUAUAUAUGUCUACCUGCCCAGCUCAAUAAUUCUGCUAUUCUACUACCUUAAUCGAUGUGAAGACUGCAGUAUUUUAGUAGUUGCUUGCAAGUCAACCAUGCAGAAGAGAAGCAUGUCAACCAAGGUGGAAG